UCCAAAAAUGGUUAGAGAAGGGAGGAAGGCAGUUUCUGGGCCCUGGGAACACAGCAGUGAUGAAACAGAUAAGGCCCAUACUCUCAGAGCCUCUGUCCCAGCAAGGAAAGCAGACACAGCAAGGCCAGGCAUGGUAUGUCAGAGGUGGUGAGGGCUACAGAACAGUUAAAGCUGAGAGGAGGAAGGAUGGAGGGCAAGUGCUAUGAUCAGAGCAAGGACCUCUCUGAGAAGUUGCCUUUGGGAAUAUACUGGAAGUAGCUGAGAAAGCCAUCCAGGUACUGGGAGGAGACUCACAUGCACAGCAGGAAUGGCACAUGUACCUGCUGUGAGGCAGGAGUUCCCUGGUGUACAGGAGGGGGCAGGAAGUGGAGGAGAGCAGGAGAUUCUAAAACAGAGGCCAGAUCACCAGACCAUGAAGUCACCAGGAGGACUUGGCUUUAAUCUGAGAAAGAUGGGAGGAUUUUGAGCAAAACACAGGUGUGACUUCUGUCACAAUCCCCCUGGCUGCUGGUUGAAAAGUUCCCUGGCUGGUGGGGAGGUGGGUAGCAGCAGGCAGGGGUGAGAGCGAGUCCUGGCUGUCAACGAGGAGAACCAACAAUGGC
ensembl:lncRNA